rnacentral:rRNA from 1 species
UACGUAGGUGGCAAGCGUUGUCCGGAUUUACUGGGCGUAAAGAGCGCGCAGGCGGUCGUUCAAGUCGCGUGUGAAAGCCCCCGGCUCAACUGGGGAGGGUCACGCGAUACUGAUCGACUCGAAGGCAGGAGAGGGUAGUGGAAUUCCCGGUGUAGUGGUGAAAUGCGCAGAUAUCAGGAAGAACACCCGUGGCGAAAGCGGCUCUCUGGGACGGUACUGACGCUGAGACGCGAAAGCGUGGGGAGCGAACAGG